GAUGAACGCUGGCGGCGUGCCUAAUACAUGCAAGUCGAGCGAACGAAUGAGAACUUGCCUCCUGUGAUUUUAGCCGGGCGCGUGAGUGUAACGUGGGUAUAACCCAUGUAUAAUUCUGGGAUAUCUUGGGGAAACCGGAUCUAAUAGCGUAAUAUUUUUUGCACCACAUGUUUCAAAAGUAAAACACGUUCUGCUUUUCACUUAUAGUUGACCCCGGGCGGCAUUAGCUAGUUGGUAAGGUAACGGCUUACCAAGGCAACGAUGCGUAGCCGACCUGAGAGGGUGAUCGGCCACACUGGGACUGAGACACGGUCCAGACUCCUACGGGAGGCAGCAGUAGGGAAUCUUCCGCAAUGGGCGAAAGUCUGACGGAGCAACGCCGCGUGAACGAUGAAGGUCUUCGGAUCGUAAAGUUCUGUUGUUAGGGAAGAACAAGUGCCAAAGUAACUGCUGAUACCUUGACGGUACCUAACCAGAAAGCCACGGCUAACUACGUG
rnacentral:rRNA from 1 species